AUACGGAGGAUCCGAGCGUUAUCCGGAUUUAUUGGGUUUAAAGGGUGCGCAGGCGGGAGAUUAAGUCGGCGGUGAAAUUUUGCAGCUCAACUGUAAAAGUGCCAUCGAUACUGGUUUUCUUGAGUGUGGAUGAAGUAGGCGGAAUUUGUGGUGUAGCGGUGAAAUGCAUAGAUAUCACGAGGAACUCCGAUUGCGCAGGCAGCUUACUAGGCCAUAACUGACGCUCAGGCACGAAGGCGUGGGGAUCAAACAGGAUUAGAUACCCUGGUAGUCCACGCAGUAAACGAUGAUUACUCGCUGUUUGCGAUACACAGUAAGCGGCUUAGCGAAAGCGUUAAGUAAUCCACCUGGGGAGUACGUUCGCAAGAAUGAAACUCAAAGGAAUUGGCGGGG
rnacentral:rRNA from 1 species